rnacentral:rRNA from 1 species
UACGGAGGGUGCAAACGUUGCUCGGAAUCAUUGGGCGUAAAGCGCACCUAGGCGGCGGCAUAAGCGGGAUGUGAAAGCCCAGGGCUCAACCCUGGAAGUGCAUCCCGAACUGUGUCGCUUGAAUCUCGGAGGGGGACAGAGAAUUCCCGGUGUAGAGGUGAAAUUCGUAGAUAUCGGGAGGAAUACCAGUGGCGAAGGCGCUGUCCGGGACGAAGAGUGACGCUGAGGUGCGAAAGCGCGGGGAGCAAACAGG